rnacentral:rRNA from 1 species
GACGAACGCUGGCGGCGUGCUUAACACAUGCAAGUCGAACGGAAAGGCCCUUCGGGGUACUCGAGUGGCGAACGGGUGAGUAACACGUGGGUGAUCUGCCCUGCACUUUGGGAUAAGCCUGGGAAACUGGGUCUAAUACCGAAUAGGACCACGCGCUUCAUGGUGUGUGGUGGAAAGCUUUUGCGGUGUGGGAUGGGCCCGCGGCCUAUCAGCUUGUUGGUGGGGUAAUGGCCUACCAAGGCGACGACGGGUAGCCGGCCUGAGAGGGUGACCGGCCACACUGGGACUGAGAUACGGCCCAGACUCCUACGGGAGGCAGCAGUGGGGAAUAUUGCACAAUGGGCGCAAGCCUGAUGCAGCGACGCCGCGUGAGGGAUGACGGCCUUCGGGUGGUAAACCUCUUUCACCAGGGACGAAGCGUAAGUGACGGUACCUGGAGAAGAAGCACCGGCCAACUACGU